rnacentral:rRNA from 1 species
CAGUAGCCGCGGUAAUACGAAGGGGGCUAGCGUUGCUCGGAAUGACUGGGCGUAAAGGGCGCGUAGGCGGAUUGUUUAGUUAGGCGUGAAAUUCCUGGGCUUAACCUGGGGACUGCGCUUAAUACAGGCAGUCUAGAGUGAGGAAGAGGGUUGUGGAAUUCCCAGUGUAGAGGUGAAAUUCGUAGAUAUUGGGAAGAACACCGGUGGCGAAGGCGGCGACCUGGUCCUUGACUGACGCUGAGGCGCGAAAGCGUGGGGAGCAAACAGGAUUAGAUACCCCUGUAGUCCCUGUCUCUUAUAC